AGUGAACGCUGGCGGUAGGCCUAACACAUGCAAGUCGAACGGCAGCACAGUAAGAGCUUGCUCUUACGGGUGGCGAGUGGCGGACGGGUGAGGAAUACAUCGGAAUCUACUUUUUCGUGGGGGAUAACGUAGGGAAACUUACGCUAAUACCGCGUACGACCUACGGGUGAAAGCAGGGGAUCUUCGGACCCUGCGCGAUUGAAUGAGCCGAUGUCGGAUUAGCUAGUUGGCGGGGUAAAGGCCCACCAAGGCGACGAUCCGUAGCUGGUCUGAGAGGAUGAUCAGCCACACUGGAACUGAGACACGGUCCAGACUCCUACGGGAGGCAGCAGUGGGGAAUAUUGGACAAUGGGCGCAAGCCUGAUCCAGCCAUACCGCGUGGGUGAAGAAGGCCUUCGGGUUGUAAAGCCCUUUUGUUGGGAAAGAAAAGCAGCAGGUUAAUACCCCGCUGUUCUGACGGUACCCAAAGAAUAAGCACCGGCUAACUUCGUG
rnacentral:rRNA from 1 species